rnacentral:rRNA from 1 species
GGAUCCGAUCAUACCAGCACUAAUGCAUCAGAUCCCGUCAGAACUCCAAAGUUAAGUGUGGUUGGCUGAGUAGUACUAAAGUGAGAGAAGGCCUCCCACUACCGGUCAAC